rnacentral:misc_RNA from 1 species
GUCCCAUUCCAUAAGCAAAUGGAAUCUCAUAAUUGUUUUCACCUUCAAAUGUCGAUGGAUUUCCGAGUAAAUAUCCCUUGAGAUUGAUAAAUGGUUUGAUUUCCAUUUCAUUAUUACUGGCAAUAAUUUGACUAAUAAUGGGAACAACCAUCCCCGAGUACGAGUCUCCACCAAUGUAUAAUGGAUUCUUUAGAAAUGUUGGAUGAUCUACAAACCACUUGCGAAGGAACUGAUAUGCAUGAUCACUUGUUUGUAAAUCAGAUGUUUGUAGAGCUGCUGGAGUUGUCGCGUAGGAAAAACCAGUUCCUACCGGUAAGUCUAAGAAAAUAAUACUUGACACCUUUGUCCAUGAGUAAGGAUUCAGUAUCAUUGUAGGCAAACUCCCAUUGUAUUCCACUGCCCCAAAUGUUAUUGGUCCAAUCUCAUAGAUAAGGCCAGAUAGAGCAGAGCAACCAGGUCCUCCAGUGAUCCAAAGCAUUAGAGGGUCGGAGUCUGGAUAUCCAGACUCCG